rnacentral:rRNA from 1 species
CGCAUCUGUGCAUGCAGCAUAUCAAUAAGCGGAGGAAAAGAGACUAACAAGGAUUCCCCUAGUAACGGCGAGUGAAGCGGGAAGAGCUCAAAUUUGAAAUCUUAAAGGGUUUCCCUUUACGAAUUGUAGUUUAAAGAAGUGUUUUCUGUUGAGGUUUUGGUAAAAGUUCUUUGGAAUAGGACAUCAUAGAGGGUGAGAAUCCCGUAUUUGACCUUUACUUUCAACUUUGUGAUACACUUUCAAAGAGUCGGAUUGUUUGGGAAUGCAGUCCAAAAUGGGUGGUAAAUUUCAUCUAAAGCUAAAUAUUGGCGAGAGACCGAUAGCGAACAAGUACCGUGAGGGAAAGAUGAAAAGAACCUUGAAAAGAGAGUUAAACAGUACGUGAAAUUGUCAAAAGGGAAGCGUUUGACACCAGUGUUGUUUUUCUGAAAAUCAAUUAAAGAACUGUUUAUGCUAAGCUGUUUAGACUUUAUCAGCUAUCUGUUUAGUUUUAGGCUUUUCUUUAAUGCACUUUUCAGUUAACAAGUCAACAUCAAUUUCUUUUGCUGUAAAAAAGCUUGAGGAAGGUGGCUUGAGAUUCGUCUUAAGUGUUUAUAGCCUCUUGCCUAUGCAGUCGGAGAGAUUGAGGUCUGCAGCGUAGAUCCUUCGGGGCUAAAUGCAUUUGUGCUAAGUUAUAGCACUUUAUAGACAACUUGUUGACUAUGAUUUGUCUUGUAGCUUACUCGCUUAUGUUAUUUUACCUACGCUUAGGAUGUUGAACGCGCACAGAGUCUC